rnacentral:lncRNA from 1 species
CAGUUAGUAUCCUUGAACUUUGUCCCCAGCCAGUCAACAUUAGGGUUUUAAACCAUAAACUGGACUUUUUCCCUUUAGUUAGCAUUAGGGUUUUAAACCCUAAACUGAACUUUUUCCUUUAGUCAGCAUUAGGGUUUUAAACCCUAAACUGAACUCUUUCCUUUAGUCAGCAUUAGGGUUUUAAACCCUAAACUGAACUUUUUCCUUUAGUCAGCAUUAGGGUUUUAAACCCUAAACUGAACUCUUCCCUUUAAUCAGCAUUAGGGUUUUUAAAACCCUAAACUGAACUUUUCCUUUAGCCAACAUGCGGGUUUUAAACCCUGAAUUGAACUUUUCUAGUUAGUCAGUAUUAGGGUUUUAAACCCUAAACUGAACUUUUCCAUUCAGUCAGUAUUAGGGCCCCGACUCUAAACUGAACUUUUCCCCAGUUAGUCAGUACUAGGGUUUCAACU